GUGGCGUGCUUAACACAUGCAAGUCGAACGAGAAAGUUUCCUUCGGGAAAUUAGUAAAGUGGCGCAAGGGUGAGUAUCACGUGAAUAAUCUGCCCUCGAGAUCGGGAUAACAUGGUGAAAACUAUGCUAAUACCGGAUAAGACCACAUUUCAUAAGAAAUGCGGUAAAAGGAGUCUCAAUCUUCACUCGAGGAUGAGUUCGCGCAACAUUAGCUUGUUGGUGAGAUAAAAGCUCACCAAGGCUACGAUGUUUAGCCGGCCUGAGAGGGUGAACGGCCACACUGGAACUGAGACACGGUCCAGACUCCUACGGGAGGCAGCAGUGGGGAAUAUUGCGCAAUGGGCGAAAGCCUGACGCAGCAACGCCGUGUGAGCGAUGAAGGCUUUAGGGUCGUAAAGCUCUGUCAAAUGGGAAGAAUUUUGACGGUACCAUUAGAGGAAGCCCCGGCUAACUCCGUGCCAGCAGCCGCGGUAAUACGGAGGGGGCAAGCGUUGUUCGGAAUUAUUGGGCGUAAAGCGUAUGUAGGCGGCUAAGUAAGUCAGGCGUGCAAGCCCGUGGCUCAACCACGGAAUUGCGUUUGAAACUGUUUAGCUUGAGUGCAGGAGAGGAAAGCGGAAUUCCCAGUGUAGCGGUGAAAUGCAUUGAUAUUGGGAAGAACAUCUGUGGCGAAGGCGGCUUUCUGGUCUGUUACUGACGCUGAGAUACGAAAGCCAGGGUAGCGAACGGGAUUAGAUACCCCGGUAGUCCUGGCUGUAAACGAUGGGCACUAGGUGGAGGAGGUAUCGAUCCCCUCUCUGCCGUAGCUAACGC
rnacentral:rRNA from 1 species